GAGUUUAUAUUUGGUACAUAUGUUGAGAUAUUUCUAUUUGGAAAUAUUUUGAAAAUUGGAACAGAAAAUUUUCAUACAAAUUGGAACAGUUGGAACAGAAAUAAAUUGUAUAUCUAUAACAUAAUUAACUUCUUAAUAGCUUUAUUAAUUCAUCACUAUUAUUAUAAGCGAACCUAAUAGCGAUCUCUCCCACGGUGAACGUUAUUUUGAGAACGAUCUGGAGCAGAGAUGCGUUCUGGAAUAAUCUAGACCACAUUCCAGUUAGCACAGCGUAGACUACCUACAAUGGACCUACAAGAAGGUG